rnacentral:rRNA from 1 species
UACAGAGGUCUCAAGCGUUUGUUCGGAUUCAUUGGGCGUAAAGGGUGCGUAGGCGGCGCGGUAAGUCGGGUGUGAAAUCUCGGAGCUUAACUCCGAAACUGCAUUCGAUACUGCCGUGCUUGAGGACUGGAGAGGAGACUGGAAUUUACGGUGUAGCGGUGAAAUGCGUAGAUAUCGGGAGGAACACCGGUGGCGAAGGCGGCAUCCUGGACCGGUAUUGACGCUGAGGCGCGAAAGCUAGGGGAGCAAACGGGG